ACACUGACGACAUGGUUCUACACCUGAGAAACGGCUACCACAUCCAAGGAAGGCAGCAGGCACGCAAAUUACCCACUCCCGGCUUGGGGAGGUAGUGACGAAAAAUAACGAUGUGAGACUCAUCCGAGGCCUCACAAUCGGAAUGAGUACACUUUAAAAUCCUUUAACGAGGAUCUAUUGGAGGGCAAGUCUGGUGCCAGCAGCCGCGGUAAUUCCAGCUCCAAUAGCGUAUAUUAAAGUUGUUGCGGUUAAAAAGCUCGUAGUUGGACUACAGUUCCGGACUGACGGUACACCUCCUGGUGUUACUGUCACGCUCCGAACAGCCUUGUAUUUAACAGUCCA
rnacentral:rRNA from 1 species